ACUACUUCUGCAAGUCGUAGUGCUGUCCGAUCAUCUUCUGAUCAAGUGAGUGUAUACUACCUUUCAUAAACACGAUAAUAAUACAAGUAUGGUUUGAGUGUAUUAAGUAUAUUGUUGUUUAUAUGUGUGAGUGUAUACUACCUUUCAUAAACACGAUAAUAACACAAGUAUGGUUUGAGUGUAUUAAGUAUAUUGUUGUUUAUAUGCGUGAGUGUAUACUACCUUUCAUAAACACGAUAAUAAUACAAGUAUGGUUUGAGUGUAUUAAGUAUAUUGUUGUUUAUAUGCGUGAGUGUAUACUACCUUUCAUAAACACGAUAAUAAUACAAGUAUGGUUUGAGUGUAUUAAGUAUAUUGUUGUUUAUAUGUGUGAGUGUAUACUACCUUUCAUAAACACGAUAAUAAUACAAGUAUGGUUUGAGUGUAUUAAGUAUAUUGUUGUUUAUAUGUGUGAGUGUGUAGUUACUUUCUUCUAACGCA
rnacentral:lncRNA from 1 species